rnacentral:misc_RNA from 1 species
GAUGAAGAACGUAGCGAAAUGCGAUACGUAGUGUGAAUUGCAGAAUUCAGUCAAUCAUCGAAUCUUUGAACGCACAUUGCACCUCUCGGUAUUCCGGGAGGUAUGCCUGUUCGAGCGUCAUUUGUACCCUCAAGCUCUGCUUGGUGUUGGGUGUUUGUUCCGCCUCUGUGUGUGAACUCGCCUCAAAACAAUUGGCAGCCGGCGUACUUGUUUCGGAGCGCAGCACAUUUUGCGAUCCAGAUCAACGUACAGCGGCAUCCAAGAAGCCUUAUUUAACGCUCUUGACCUCGGAUCAGGUAGGGAUACCCGCUGAACUUAAGCAUAUCAAUAAGCGGAGGA